rnacentral:rRNA from 1 species
CCUACGGGUGGCAGCAGUGGGGAAUAUUGGUCAAUGGGCGCAAGCCUGACCCAGCAACGCCGCGUGAAGGAAGAAGGCUUUCGGGUUGUAAACUUCUUUUCUUAGGGACGAAACAAGUGACGGUACCUGAGGAAUAAGCCACGGCUAACUACGUGCCAGCAGCCGCGGUAAUACGUAGGCGGCAAGCGUUAUCCGGAUUUACUGGGUGUAAAGGGCGUGUAGGCGGGAAUGCAAGUCAGAUGUGAAAACCACGGGCUCAACCUGUAGCCUGCAUUUGAAACUGUAGUUCUUGAGUACUGGAGAGGCAGACGGAAUUCGUGGUGUAGCGGUGAAAUGCGUAGAUAUUAGGAAGAACUCCAGUGGCGAAGGCAGUCUGCUGGACUGCAACUGACGCUGAGGCGCGAAAGCGUGGGGAGCAAACAGGAUUAGAUACCCGAGUAGUC